rnacentral:rRNA from 1 species
UACGAAGGGGGCUAGCGUUGCUCGGAAUCACUGGGCGUAAAGGGUAGGUAGGUGGUCUCAUUUGUCUGGGGUGAAAUCCUUGGGCUUAACCCAAGAAGUGCCCCAGAAACGGUGAGACUGGAGUCCUGGAGAGGGUCGUGGAAUUCCCGGUGUAGCGGUGAAAUGCGUAGAGAUCGGGAGGAACACCAGAGGCGAAGGCGGCGACCUGGACAGGUACUGACACUCAACUACAAAAGCGUGGGGAGCAAACAGG